rnacentral:rRNA from 1 species
GGGUGAGUAACACGUGGGUAACCUGCCCGUAAGACCGGGAUAACUCCGGGAAACCGGGGCUAAUACCGGAUAACACCGAAGACCGCAUGGUCUUUGGUUGAAAGGUGGCUUUUGCUACCACUUACGGAUGGGCCCGCGGCGCAUUANCUAGUUGGUGAGGUAACGGCUCACCAAGGCGACGAUGCGUAGCCGGCCUGAGAGGGUGACCGGCCACACUGGGACUGAGACACGGCCCAGACUCCUACGGGAGGCAGCAGUAGGGAAUCUUCCGCAAUGGACGAAAGUCUGACGGAGCGACGCCGCGUGAGCGAAGAAGGUCUUCGGAUCGUAAAGCUCUGUUGUUAGGGAAGAAGAAGUACCGUUCGAAUAGGGCGGUACGGUGACGGUACCUAACGAGAAAGCCCCGGCUAACUACGUGCC